CCCCUUUUCAAUCGCGAAGCACACACUUAUAUAACACCUGUCCUUCGGGACUAUGAACAUAAACGCGCUCGUAAUAAGCGGAUCGGACCCGGGGGCGGUACCCGGCGACUCCACCACCAUCCUUCAUUUGAGGAUUUUGGGGUCGAAACAGGAUCGACGGACGUCUAAAGGGGUUAGCUUUGUUUCGGUGAGAUACCACCGUUAUCGGUUCGAUUUAAGCUAGUUGCAAAUGACAACAAAGCUCCGGCAAUGGCUCUGGCUGCGUAAGCAGUUCGGGUCGCCGAAACUAAGCCCCUUCGCCUAGCCGCGUAGGGCGGGGUUCGCAGGUACCUGGCAACAGAAACCUGCACU
rnacentral:tmRNA from 1 species